GCCGGCCCCCAAAGAGUGCACAGAUGCUCUGUGUGGGGUCGACUCAUCCUUUUUUAAGACUGCUGGUCUAGGAAAAGGAAAGGAAUAUUGUCAUGACUCAUACCUGAGCCAGAGGAGGAGGGGGGAGUUCACUGGGGUGAAUCCUUGACAGUAAAAGAUUCACAGUAGGCCGCCACCAUCCACUUUAUUUUGAUGUGGAACAAACCACUCUUUCCACAUAAGAUUCCUAGGGGAGGUUAUAGUGGCAAAACGCUCCCCAAAAAGGCUGAGCAGUCCUCGGCCUCCAAAGGUGUGUGACUAAGGCAGACGCAAAAUGAAGAGUAGCACACUUCAGCAACAAGGAUUUAUUCUUAGAUUAAUAGAAAAAAGGAAAGGCCCACCCUCCCAGCAGUAGCUCUAGUGAGGCCUAAUCCUCCCUCAAAGCCUUUCCAUCGCUCUACAUAUGAAGAUAUACAGUCUUUUGGGGAUGCUGAUUUUGAGGCAGAUGAUGAGUGUGGAUUUGAACCCGUUUUGGCAGUGCAGUGAAAUUUGGUACAAACAACAGAAAACCUCUGUUACAAUCAGCAGAGGAAUAACCAAUGGAGGGAAACAGAAGGUGUGACAUAAACAUUCUACUAAACAUGUGAGGAAUCAAAAGGCCUUUUGCAGUUUUUUUCCUUUUCUUUAUAGGGAGGCCUGAGAAACCUGAGAAAGGCAAAAGGAGAGUAAUAAAACUCGCAAGGUUAUGAGGUGGUCUAAAUCUUAUACGUUGUACGUUGUAUUGCUCAUCAGCAGUGGUGUGUGUGUGAGUGAGAGAGAGAGAGAAUGUUGAGUGUGUUUGACUUACAGCCAUUUUUGGAUCUUUAUUUUUAUUUAUUUAAUUCAAUUUCUAAACUGCCCUGUCAUAGAUGUCAUAGUCAGAUCACGUAUAGCACAUUGGAUGCAGAGUCAAAGGUGGCAAUACUAAAAACUCUGAUUGGCUAAGUUUAUGCAGAUAUUAUUCAGCAUGUGUGGCCUUAUGAUGUGGGCAGGGGACAGCGGUCUAAGGCCUAUCCCUUGUGGUUUGGAUUUUGUUAAUAGUGACUGUCUACAUUUGCCAGACUUCAUUUAGAGCUUUGGGUUACAGAAGUUGUUGGCGCUUCCUUGCUGGCUGAGAUUAUUCUUAUGUUCUACAAGAGAUGGAGGACAUAAUUUGUUAGAGCAACCCCUUUUGGACACAAAUUAUAAAAUUAUACAAUCCACUGUGGAUGUACUGUUUCAUGAGUAGAUUUAUCCUGGAAUAUUGGGUUGACUGAAGUAUGAUUUCAACAUUUCAGUCAUCAAAAUGCAAUUAACACUCAAGAAUCAGAUCAAUAGUUCACAAGACAAUAUGAUCCAAAUUUUAGUAUUAUUCAAAUUUAUCAGAUAAAUCCUCGAUUUUGUGUUGCUUGGGUUAUGUUUUAAAAUGGCUGCUUGUCCCCCAUUUUGUGUUUGCUAUGAAAACUUUAAACGAUCAAGGCUGUUAUUUUCUGUAAGAGUUAAUUUCUGCCUGGAGUUUAUUAUUUUUCAUCUGGUUUGUGUUAGCCAUGAUUGUGUAAUUCCAGAGGAAGUGGGCGAAGUUGCAAAUAUAAAAGAGGGAAGUUGGAGCACCUAGUCGAGCUGAUCUCAUUUUAUGAAAGCUGGUUGAAUUCUUCAAGAGUUGAGUGCAGUGAAAUCACUUAGAGCUGGAACUCACCAAGAAGGCUACUGAAACUCUUUGAACACACAGCUGUCAAUUUCAGAGCAGCUGAGAGAAAAAACUGCAGCAGAAACAGACCAUAUUGGACAGAGAGAGAAAGAGAGGAACUGGCUUCUCAGCAAAGAGAGAGAGAGCUAUCCAAAAAGGCCAGUGGUGCAAAUCCUGGUUGGGCACAGUAUUGAGUAUAGAAUGGCUUGAUGCAUUUAUCUCAAUUUCAUUUGUUCCUUCUUGCUUGCAUGAAAAAUAAAGAAUUACACUUGGUUGUAGUGGUAAAGCUUACCAAUUCAAAGGGCUGGCUACUCUAGCAUUGACAAACAUAUAUGGUAAUUAUUCAGUAAGACAAAUCAUGUUUGAAGCUGAAAUCCUACAAAUUUCAACUGUCAUUUUACUUCCCUUUUGCAAGCACAUUAAUAAAACAUUCUCAUACCUCA